rnacentral:ncRNA from 1 species
UUAACAGCUUUGACGGAGAAGAGUAAGCCCGGCGCUUUCCAUCAGCGAGCCUGAUACGGUGCGAGCAGGCUGGAAAUAGGGCGGAAAAUCCCUCCCGAGCUUCCAGGCGAAAAUCCGGUGUGUCUGGGUGAUUAGUUUUGGGCGGGUGCCAGCCGUUAUCCUGGCAUGGCAUGGUUGUGCCAGAAUGAGCGCCCCGAUUCAUCGGGGAACAAGGGUGGUACCGCGGUUAAUCCCGUCCCUUAU